rnacentral:rRNA from 1 species
AACAAAACGAUUACCCUGAACGGUGGAUCACUUGGCUCGCGGGUCG